rnacentral:rRNA from 1 species
CCUACGGGAGGCAGCAGUGAGGAAUAUUGGUCAAUGGACGGAAGUCUGAACCAGCCAAGCCGCGUGCGGGAAGAAGGUACUGCGUAUCGUAAACCGCUUUUGUAAGGGGAUAAACGCGGGUACUAGUCCCUGUCUGAAGGUACCUGAAGAAAAAGCAUCGGCUAACUCCGUGCCAGCAGCCGCGGUAAUACGGAGGAUUCGAGCGUUAUCCGGAUUUAUUGGGUUUAAAGGGUGCGGAGGCGGGCGGGUAAGUUAGCGGGGAAAUCCCGAGGGCCAACCUCGGCUGUGCCGCUGAAACUGGUGGGCUGGAGUGGGAGAGAGGUAGGCGGAAUGGGUGGUGUAGCGGUGAAAUGCUUAGAUAUCGCGCAGAACACCGAUUGCGAAGGCAGCGUACCG